AAGUCGUAACAAGGUUUCCGUAGGUGAACCUGCGGAAGGAUCAUUAACACGUAUCCAAACGUUAAACCCCCCUGUGAACCUUCAGUCGUACUCGUACGUCCGUUAGAAAAAGCAGCAAUCCCUGGUAAAUCAUCGCCGAACAGUUUUCGAUUCAGGGACGUCUGCAAGGAGCGUGCAUGUUGUGCGUGUAAGUGGCCUGGCAUCCCGGCGUUCGACCGCAGGACUUCCCGCAGGAUCACCAUAGAUAGAGCAGGGGUGUGAUAAGGGGGCUUGCGCCCGGUGACCCGGUCGUCGGCCGUGUGGGCCUCCAACGAUCGUGACUGUGUCAUCCUUACACAUGUUAGUGACACUUUCAGACACUAACGUUAGUGACACUUUCAGACACUAACUGCUUGUUAACAAUGGAUAUCUUGGUUCUCA
rnacentral:misc_RNA from 1 species